rnacentral:sRNA from 1 species
AAAACCACCCCAGCGACGUUCAUAGAAUGGCGCAAUAUGUUCGAUAUUAAAAUGACCUGGCUUAUUAGUCCGAAUUCAGACAAAUAUAAACAAAUCCUGCUCAAUAUUAAAAUAUACUAACCGGUAAAAGAUAUUACUUAAAAAUGUAAAUUCACUUUUCUUUAAAAAACAAAAAACCGCCAAAAUCAGGCGGUUAUUUGUUGCCGGUUUGGU